UACAGAGGGGGCAAGCGUUAUUCGGAAUUAUUGGGCGUAAAGGGCGCGUAGGCGGCUUUGCAAGUGACGGGUGAAAUCCCACGGCUUAACCGUGGAACUGCCUGUCAGACUGCAUGGCUUGAGACCAGGAGAGGUGAGUGGAAUUCCCAGUGUAGCGGUGAAAUGCGUAGAUAUUGGGAGGAACACCAGUGGCGAAGGCGGGUCUCUGGACAGUUCCUGACGCUGAGGCACGAAGGCCAGGGGAGCAAACGGG
rnacentral:rRNA from 1 species